UACGGAGGUGGCAAGCGUUGCUCGGAAUCACUGGGCAUAAAGGGCGCGUAGGCGGUUCGACAAGUCAGGUGUGAAAUACCCCGGCUCAACCGAGGAAUGGCGCUUGAUACUAUCGAGCUGGAGUGCAGUAGGGGAGAGUGGAAUUCCCGGUGUAGCGGUGAAAUGCGUAGAUAUCGGGAAGAACGCCGGUGGCGAAAGCGGCUCUCUGGACUGUAACUGACGCUGAGGCGCGAAAGCUAGGGGAG
rnacentral:rRNA from 1 species